GACGAACGCUGGCGGCGUGCCUAAUACAUGCAAGUAGAACGCAGUUGCGAACGGGUGAGUAACGCGUAGGUAACUGCCUCAUAGCGGGGGAUAACUAUUGGAAACGAUAGCUAAUACCGCAUACUGUGAGAUGGACCUGCGUUGUAUUAGCUAGUUGGUGAGGUAAAGGCUCACCAAGGCGACGAUACAUAGCCGACCUGAGAGGGGGAUCGGCAAAACUGGAAGUGAGAAACGACCCAGAUGCCUACGGGAGGAAGCGUAAGGGAAUCUUGGGAAAGGGACGGAAGUCUGACCGGGAAAGGCGGCGGAAGUGAGGAAGGUUUUCGGAUGGAAAAAUCUGGUGGUAAGAGAAGAGGUAAACAAACAGAAAGGGACCGCUAACUACGUGCCAGCAGCCGCGGUAAUAC
rnacentral:rRNA from 1 species